rnacentral:rRNA from 1 species
ACGAAGGGUGCAAGCGUUAAUCGGAAUUACUGGGCGUAGGGCGCGCGUAGGUGGUUUGAUAAGUUGGACGUGAAAGCCCCGGGCUCAACCUGGGAAUUGCAUCCAAAACUGUCUGACUAGAGUACGGUAGAGGGUAGUGGAAUAUCCUGUGUAGCGGUGAAAUGCGUAGAUAUAGGAAGGAACACCAGUGGCGAAGGCGACUACCUGGACUGAUACUGACACUGAGGUGCGAAAGCGUGGGGAGCAAACAGGA